rnacentral:pre_miRNA from 1 species
UUUGACUCUUCGUCUUAUUUAAAAUUUUUUUGUAAUUAAUAUUUUUAUUCUUACUAGAUAAUAAAACAUAAAUAGUAUUUUAUGUGUGAUAAAUUUUUUUAAGUUUUUGCAUAAAAUUUUUAAAUAAAACAAAUGGUCAAA